rnacentral:lncRNA from 1 species
UGAGAAAGGAAUUCUAAGCAUGGGACAAAUGGAAGAAUCUGCAAUUAUAAUAAUAGUAGAACUGUUAUAUGCUAUAUCCUGGACCAAUCAAUACAAGAAUAAAAUUGGAAAAAAGGUUAAUAAAAAUAUGGAGAGACUCUGAUGGCCAUUCAACUGGAUGCAUAUCAGUCAUGAAGGUUACAAAGAACAUAGACUGGGGGAAAAAAAGAGAGCCUCCUGGAAGGAAGAAUUUUAAGCUUCUUAGGCCAUGAUAAGACAUGGCGUGAAGCAGAGGUGCUCAGUUCAGAGUAGAGCGGAAGAGGAGCUGGUCACAUCAGUGUGGAAGUUAGGCAAAAAUGGAGCACUGCUGAAGAGAAGUCCUAUAAGCUUCAGAAAAUUCUAAUAAACACAGAAAUGUAUCUGCCUGUAGUUGCC